rnacentral:rRNA from 1 species
GCAAACUGCGAAUACCGGAGAAUGUUAUCACGGGAGACACACGGCGGGUGCUAACGUCCGUCGUGAAGAGGGAAACAACCCAGACCGCCAGCUAAGGUCCCAAAGUCAUGGUUAAGUGGGAAACGAUGUGGGAAGGCCCAGACAGCCAGGAUGUUGGCUUAGAAGCAGCCAUCAUUUAAAGAAAGCGUAAUAGCUCACUGGUCGAGUCGGCCUGCGCGGAAGAUGUAACGGGGCUAAACCAUGCACCGAAGCUGCGGCAGCGACGCUUAUGCGUUGUUGGGUAGGGGAGCGUUCUGUAAGCCUGCGAAGGUGGCCUGUGAGGGUUGCUGGAGGUAUCAGAAGUGCGAAUGCUGACAUAAGUAACGAUAAAGCGGGUGAAAAGCCCGCUCGCCGGAAGACCAAGGGUUCCUGUCCAACGUUAAUCGGGGCAGGGUGAGUCGACCCCUAAGGCGAGGCCGAAAGGCGUAGUCGAUGGGAAACGGGUUAAUAUUCCCGUACUUGGUGUUACUGCGAAGGGGGGACGGAGAAGGCUAUGUUGGCCGGGCGACGGUUGUCCCGGUUUAAGCGUGUAGGCUGGUUUUCCAGGCAAAUCCGGAAAAUCAAGGCUGAGGCGUGAUGACGAGGCACUACGGUGCUGAAGCAACAAAUGCCCUGCUUCCAGGAAAAGCCUCUAAGCAUCAGGUAACAUCAAAUCGUACCCCAAACCGACACAGGUGGUCAGGUAGAGAAUACCAAGGCGCUUGAGAGAACUCGGGUGAAGGAACUAGGCAAAAUGGUGCCGUAACUUCGGGAGAAGGCACGCUGACACGUAGGUGAAGUGAUUUACUCACGGAGCUGAAGUCAGUCGAAGAUACCAGCUGGCUGCAACUGUUUAUUAAAAACACAGCACUGUGCAAACACGAAAGUGGACGUAUACGGUGUGACGCCUGCCCGGUGCCGGAAGGUUAAUUGAUGGGGUCAGCGCAAGCGAAGCUCCUGAUCGAAGCCCCGGUAAACGGCGGCCGUAACUAUAACGGUCCUAAGGUAGCGAAAUUCCUUGUCGGGUAAGUUCCGACCUGCACGAAUGGCGUAAUGAUGGCCAGGCUGUCUCCACCCGAGACUCAGUGAAAUUGAACUCGCUGUGAAGAUGCAGUGUACCCGCGGCAAGACGGAAAGACCCCGUGAACCUUUACUAUAGCUUGACACUGAACAUUGAGCCUUGAUGUGUAGGAUAGGUGGGAGGCUUUGAAGUGUGGACGCCAGUCUGCAUGGAGCCGACCUUGAAAUACCACCCUUUAAUGUUUGAUGUUCUAACGUGGACCCGUUACCCGGGUUGCGGACAGUGUCUGGUGGGUAGUUUGACUGGGGCGGUCUCCUCCUAAAGAGUAACGGAGGAGCACGAAGGUUGGCUAAUCCUGGUCGGACAUCAGGAGGUUAGUGCAAUGGCAUAAGCCAGCUUGACUGCGAGCGUGACGGCGCGAGCAGGUGCGAAAGCAGGUCAUAGUGAUCCGGUGGUUCUGAAUGGAAGGGCCAUCGCUCAACGGAUAAAAGGUACUCCGGGGAUAACAGGCUGAUACCGCCCAAGAGUUCAUAUCGACGGCGGUGUUUGGCACCUCGAUGUCGGCUCAUCACAUCCUGGGGCUGAAGUAGGUCCCAAGGGUAUGGCUGUUCGCCAUUUAAAGUGGUACGCGAGCUGGGUUUAGAACGUCGUGAGACAGUUCGGUCCCUAUCUGCCGUGGGCGCUGGAGAACUGAGGGGGGCUGCUCCUAGUACGAGAGGACCGGAGUGGACGCAUCACUGGUGUUCGGGUUGUCAUGCCAAUGGCACUGCCCGGUAGCUAAAUGCGGAAGAGAUAAGUGCUGAAAGCAUCUAAGCACGAAACUUGCCCCGAGAUGAGUUCUCCCUGAG